CAAACUGGCAGAUCUGGAAUUAAAGGACUGAGCAGGAAUGGUGCAGGCAAAGAAAAGAGAGAAACGAUGUUGGUGUUUGUGUAUUGCAGAGUGGGGCCCAUAUUACCAGCUAUGGGGAGGAGGUUCAUGGAUGCGGAGAGGGAGGACCGUUCAGGACAGGAGCAGCCAAAAGAAGAAGAGGUAGAAGAUUAAGUAGAAAAAGAGGACAAAGUAGUAGUAGUAGAAGAAAAAGAAUUAGAAAAAGAACUAAAAGUAAGUAAAAGAAGAAUAUGUAGAUGAAAUAUAAAAAGAAGUAGAUGAUGAUGGUGGAACUAAUAGAAGAGGAAAACGCAGUGAAAGAAAAAUAAGUAAAAAAAGAAGAAGAACAAGUAGAAGUAGAAGAACUAAAAGAAGUGGAGGAGGAAGAAGAAGUAGAAAAAGAACUGAAAGAAGAAAAAUAAGUUUAAAAAAAGAUAAGAAAUAAAAGAAAAGAGGUAGUAGAAGAAAAAGAAAAAAAGAAGAAAAAGAAGUUAAAGACGAUGAAGUGGAAGAAGCAAAAAAGAAAUAAAAGAAGAUGAAAAAGAAGAGGAAAAGAAAAAAUCUGCUAUCUGCUGACCAGCUUCCUCCAGACUCGAAUGAGCUUCAUCCAGCUGCUUCUCCAUCUAACAGGGGGAGGAAACAUCACAGAACAUCACAGAACAUCACUCACUUAGACCUACAGACAAUUCGGAGGAGCCAGUCUACUGGUGUUAUGUAGAAAGCGUGAUCUUUCUCCUCCUGGUGUCUCUGGCUCUGCUGUAGAGCCGCUGACGCUCUCCGCUGAAGGUUCUGCACUACCGGAUUCGUCCUCCGGAGGAGCCGCCGAGCUUCAUACAGCUAACGAACACAGACACGCCCGGGUGAGAUGCUGAAGGUGUGAACGUGCAGUACUACAAGCGCCUGUAUGUGGCGCUGCAUUCCGUCCUGGAAAUGCAUGUGUGUGACUGUUCAGUGUACUGAGGCUGUAACUUCUGUUCGGAUGGUUUGGAUGAAGUGGAG